rnacentral:rRNA from 1 species
AACGAACGCUGGCGGCAGGCUUAACACAUGCAAGUCGAACGAAGUCUUCGGACUUAGUGGCAGACGGGUGAGUAACGCGUGGGAACCUACCUUUCGGUACGGAACAACAGUUGGAAACGACUGCUAAUACCGUAUGCGCCCGUAUGGGGAAAGAUUUAAUCGCCGAAGGAUGGGCCCGCGUUGGAUUAGCUAAGUGGGUGGGUAAUGGCUGACCAAGGCGACGAUCCAUAGCUGGUCUGAGAGGAUGAUCAGCCACACUGGGACUGAGACACGGCCCAGACUCCUACGGGAGGCAGCAGUGGGGAAUAUUGGACAAUGGGGCAACCCUGAUCCAGCCAUGCCGCGUGAGUGAUGAAGGCCCUAGGGUUGUAAAGCUACUUUCAGCGAGGAGGAU